AAGGGUUGUUCGAGACUAGAACGUUGAUAGGCAGGGUGUGUAAGUGCUGUGAGGCAUUGAGCUAACCUGUACUAAUUGCCCGUGAGGCUUAACCAU
rnacentral:rRNA from 1 species